ensembl:lncRNA
UGCAUUGAGGUAAAGUGUGUGAAUUACUUUGCAUUCACAGCGUCAUGGCAUCCCAACACAAAUGGAUAUUUCUACUGAAAGAAAAUUCUGUAACUUCAAAAAUGGCAGUCUUCCAGAAAUGGAAAUACACUGAUCAACAGGAAACCUAAGGUCCAAAAUUGCAAAGGGUUGUGGCUACAGAUUUAGAUAGGAAUGAAGCAUACUGUCUGGAGAUCCAUGGAAUUCCUACCAAGAAGGAUGAAACUUUAUGCCAAGCUGCUUCAAGGAAAAGAUUGUGAGAAUGAGACAGUCCUUAUAAAAAUGAACAUGAUCUGACAGCAGAGGUGAGAUGAUACCAAAAGAAGCAGGGAUUGAAUCCUGUAGGGGUUUGCACCCCUUGAAGAUCCAGAGGAGAGAUCAAAUCAGAUACAGAGGUGCUUUGCUGCCUGUGUGCUAAGGAUAAGGAAGCUAAACAAUAAUAUCCCAGCAGUUUCCAGGACUAUGCCCGUGAGCAUCACCUCGCAGCCCUGGUCCCUCGACGCACAUGGACCUCACUGGCCUGGAUUGUGCCAUUUGCUGAAGGCAAGAGCCACACAGAGCUGCCAAGGGGACUCUGCAGGGUGGCUUUGCUGGGUACGUGUGCCCCAGGGCAGCGCUUCAGCGUGCUGAGCCUCUCAUCUGAGGGCUGAAAGGCAGCAGAGAGCAUAAUCUGUUUUAAUGGAUCCUUCUGCUGCUGUUGAAUAGCUCCCUGGUUUGGAUUACUUCUGCUGCAGGCACGAUUAGUCAGCAUCUGACAGGGCAGGGGGUCUCAGCGGGGAGUCCACAGCUAGCUAAGAAUAGGAGCCAAACAUUAUUUUCCGGCUUGUUUGGGAGAAAAACCUGAAGAGUGCAGAAAGUUUGUCCCUCGUUGUUUUCCCGGGUAGGGGAGCAGUCUCAGAGGUGAUGAGACAAACACUUGAGGAUGGCUGAUAGCACUGGAGUGCAGAGUAAACAAGAAGAUGG